ACUUAAGCUCAGCUGAAGCUUCCCAUGUCCUCUGCUGCUCCUGCUCCUCGAGCAUCCAAGCACUUCCUGCCCAUCGACCGGAUCUCGUCGCGCUGCCGUGCAGCUUCUACUCGGGCGUGCGCACUCACGCAUCUCACCCCAUCCCGGCUGGCCGCCACCCGCGUGCGCCUGCUGAAUCAGCAUCCCCGGCUCGGCUGACUGCCGCCGUGGUCCGCCUGCUGAAUCAGCAUCCCCAGCCCGGCUGGCCGCCGUCGUGGUCCGCCUGCUCGACCUAGUCGCACAUCAGUUCGGUGGGGACGGGAUCCUCCGCGGCGCCGUCCUUGCUGGUCUGAGAUGCGGAGCCUAGCGGGAGCAUGUGGGACGGCCACGCAAGAGGUUGGCGUGUCCUUGGCGGGUGCUCGGGCUUGUGGAGGAGGGGCCGAGUAUCGAGGGGAAGGACGUCGAGAAUCAGCAUCAGCGCCAUCAAUUUGGUAGUCAGAGAGGAAGAAGAAAGGGACUGCAGCUCAUACAUGCAGUAUUAUCUCCGCAUACACACAGAUUGUGGUCACUAGUCAUGGUUUCCUGUACAAGUUCUAAAACGGUACAGUAGGAGAAUUUGCCGGUGAUUCAUCAUGAAGAACAGAGUGCGAUUUCUUACUUUUGGUGACUGAGAAUCAUCUGGAGCAUCCUGGUUCCCCGGACCACUUCUUGGAGAAGCCACCGGGGACGUGAGACUCGAAGAAGACAUCAGGGACGGGAUUCCUUGGCUGCCCAAUUUAAGAGGAGAAUUUACCUGUGCUUCCCUGGUCAAGCCGCCAUUGAUUGUUCUGCCGAGGUUGUAGGUCUCUCUCGCCUCCAGGAGUAUAUUUUGGCGCGCUUUUCUGCAUAUGCGGAUCUGUUUCGCGGGCAUUUUGUGGAUAUGUUUCACAAGCGAUUAGUUUUUUUCACUUGAUUUU